GAGACGGGGAAGCUUCGGGGGGGAGUUCUCUCCUACCUGUCCUCCCCCGAGGGCGAGGGGUGCGAAGGAGCUCUCCUUCCUCCCCCCUGCGGCCGCUGGUGCUGCAGAGGGGAGCCCUGACACCCCCUUCCCCAGGGCCCGGCAGGCCGUGGGGCACAGACCCCCGCCAAGGGGCUGGGGGAGCCGGGAGCAGGGCUGUGUGGGCAGCCCCCGCGGUGAUGCCCGGGAGGAGGGUGCAAGGCGGAAAACGACCAUCUCUGUUGCAAGGGGUGCCAGCGCCACGUCCUCACGGCUGGAGAAGCCGCAGCACCGCCUGAAUCUCGCUGCCCGUUCGCCCGAGCUUGGAGGAAGGCUGGCUUUUGCGCCCCUCCAGGCCCCACAGCAGGACUAGCAU
rnacentral:lncRNA from 1 species